GGUAUUUUGACCGUGCAAAGGUAGCAUAAUCAUUAGUUUUUUAAUUGAAAGCUGGAAUGAAAGGUUGGAUGAGAAAUAAGCUGUCUCUAUUUAAUUUUAUUAGAAUUUUAUUUUUAAGUAAAAAAGCUUAAAUUUUAAUAGAAGACGAGAAGACCCUAUAGAGUUUUAUUUAUUUUUUAAAUAAAAUUAAUAGUAUUAAUCAUUUUUAUUUAAAUAAUAAAUUUAGUUGGGGUGAUUGAAAAAUUUAAUAAACUUUUUUUAUAUGUAUACAUUGAUAUAUGAUUAAUUGAUCCUUAAUUUAAGAUUAAAAGAUAAAAUUACCUUAGGGAUAACAGCGUAAUUUUUUUUGAGAGUUCUAAUCGAAAAAAAAGAUUGCGACCUCGAUGUUGGAUUAAAAUAAAAUUCUGGUGUAGAAGCUAGAA
rnacentral:rRNA from 3 species